AUGAUUCUGGAGUGUUUGACUAGACAGCACUUGCAACUGAGCAUGUCAGGUAUGAAGGAGGUAUCUGGUCAGAGAAGGUGUUUUCUGAGGCUGCUUCCCGGAUCCCUAGGGGAUGUGUUCCUGCCAUUCAGCCUUUUUGGCAGUUAUUUCCACUUGUACAAGCAGACUUUUGUCACUUACCUGAGAAAGAAAGCCCACACCUGGAUUAAUAUUAAUAGGAGUGACGAAGGCUUCUUGAAGACAGUUUGCUUGGCUGUGAACAGUGCUGCAAUGCUCAGGAACAAGGCUCAAUGCUCAAGGGUGGGAGCUGUCACCACAUAGGUAACACCUGCUGUUUUUGUUCCUUGAUAGCUUGGCUCAGGAAGGAUGAUGGUCUGUGAAAGUGAAAACCCCCGGAUGAGGGAAAAAUCAACAUGAUCCAAUGCUGAACUAGUUUAGGCCUAUGCUAUUUCCGGUGAAGGGAUGCCACUACUGACCACAACCCUGUCUCGAGAAACAUCCAGUUAUUACCCCUCUCAAUCUCUACAUACAAGAUGAAGACUUUUGACCUGGUCUGUGUCCACUCCAAGCUGAUGACUUAUAAAAGUGGCUGUGGCUCAAGAACCAGCCAACCACAGGGGACAGCAGGUGCACAAGCUUGUAAGAGUAGAAAUGAAAAGGAAUCUCUUAACUCAAUUUGGAGAAGUGAAUACUUGAGCCCUGAGCAUCUUUGCAAUGACGCCAGCUCAAAUCAGGUCAGGCACUUUCUGUGGGAGGCUAAUCCCUGAUUGCCAUCUUGCUUUCCACUUCCAUAUGGAAGUAACAUGCACUGGGGUAGAGGGCAUGGGGACAAGGGACUUGCUACAUUUGUUCUGACAGCAGUGUGAUAUAAUCACCUAUCUCAUCUGAGACACCGUCAUAUUUUAUAUGAAAGACAAGUUCUUUCU
rnacentral:lncRNA from 1 species